AGAAACUUAGGAUAAUCUUUAAACCGAGAGCCUUCAAAGCUCAAAAUAUGGGUGAAACCCCCACAGUUUCUG
rnacentral:tRNA from 1 species